UGGGGAAUAUUGGACAAUGGGCGAAAGCCUGAUCCAGCCAUGCCGCGUGUGUGAAGAAGGUCUUCGGAUUGUAAAGCACUUUAAGUUGGGAGGAAGGGCAUUAACCUAAUACGUUAGUGUUUUGACGUUACCGACAGAAUAAGCACCGGCUAACUCUGUGCCAGCAGCCGCGGUAAUACAGAGGGUGCAAGCGUGAAUCGGAAUUACUGGGCGUAAAGCGCGCGUAGGUGGUUUGUUAAGUUGGAUGUGAAAUCCCCGGGCUCAACCUGGGAACUGCAUUCAAAACUGACUGACUAGAGUAUGGUAGAGGGUGGUGGAAUUUCCUGUGUAGCGGUGAAAUGCGUAGAUAUAGGAAGGAACACCAGUGGCGAAGGCGACCACCUGGACUAAUACUGACACUGAGGUGCGAAAGCGUGGGGAGCAAACA
rnacentral:rRNA from 1 species